GGAGCUGAGCUGCAGUUCCGCGCCUUGAUGAACUAACUGCGUAUCUGUGGAGGUGCUCUGUUAGCAUCCCGUCCUAGUGACUGCGCAUAGGGCUUUCCCAGAGCACCCUGCACUGUGCUGUGGGAAACAGGAACACAGCGAAGACUGAUCCUAGGCUCCUUCAGGAUGCCAAGACUCGGGCACCCGGCCGCUCACUGAGAGCUCUGCAUGCCCCGCCUGCCGGUACUGCUGCACAGCGUGCUGUGCUCUAAGGCUGCUGCUCCGCUGUUUGCUCUCUCCAGUCCGUCCAUCCUGGAAGGUCCAUUUUGUCCCAUCUAAUCACUACACAGGUUUGGAGAAGGCGAGCUGAAAAGUCAUCCUUGCACUUCCUUAGCCUGCACAAUGGACUGAUGAACUUGUCUAUACCAGAACACCUUUUGAAGCAAAAGCAAUGCUUGUAUAGAUGAUUUUAAAGUAGACGUGUAAAAGAUGUGGCUUGCUUUUUUUUCCUUCUUACGUGCUUAAAAUACUCUUCUAUACCAGCAGAGCUGUGACUGGAUGUAGCAUGAUCUGGCAUAAAUGCCAGGGUAGAAACUCAACUUUGGUAGUUGGAAUUGAUCAGAAAAAUAAAAGCAGAUUAAUGUUU